rnacentral:rRNA from 1 species
CCUGGCUCAGGAUGAACGCUGGCGGCGUGCCUAACACAUGCAAGUCGAGCGAUUCUCUUCGGAGAAGAGCGGCGGACGGGUGAGUAACGCGUGGGUAACCUGCCCUGUACACACGGAUAACAUACCGAAAGGUAUGCUAAUACGGGAUAAUAUGCUUUAGUCGCAUGGCUGAAGUAUCAAAGCUCCGGCGGUACAGGAUGGACCCGCGUCUGAUUAGCUAGUUGGUGAGGUAAUGGCUCACCAAGGCGACGAUCAGUAGCCGACCUGAGAGGGUGAUCGGCCACAUUGGAACUGAGACACGGUCCAAACUCCUACGGGAGGCAGCAGUGGGGAAUAUUGCACAAUGGGCGAAAGCCUGAUGCAAGCAACGCCGCGUGAGCGAUGAAGGCCUUCGGGUCGUAAAGCUCUGUCCUCAAGGAAGAUAAUGACGGUACUUGAGGAGGAAGCCCCGGCUAACUACGUGCCAGCAGCCGC